rnacentral:lncRNA from 1 species
UCUAUUUCUAUUCAAAUUUCAUCCAAACUAAAUUUUAUCUACUAAUUUCUUCAGCAUUUUUCACUAAUUUCGAAUUUCCCUCAAUUUAAUCCCUAAAAUUCAAAACUUAUAGUUUAGUUCACAAUUUAAUCCUUUUAUCAACUCUAACUAGAACUCUAUCAAAUAAAUCAUCAAUUCCAUCAUUUAUUCAACAUAAACCCUAAAAAAAUCUAUUAACUUUCAAAUU